ensembl:lncRNA
GUUCCAGUUCCAGGCAGAAGCCAGAGGAAUGUGGCACCUGCUAUGCUGAGACCUUUUCAUGUGAAGUUUGUUGAUGCUUGUGUAGAACUCUUUUCUCUGUGAUAUGAAUCAAACAGUAGGAUCUCAGAUAUUGCUCAAGAGUUCAUCUGAAAAAGAGUCUAAGAGAGACAUGAUAUGAGAUGGAAAAAAAUGUUGACAGACCUUAAACAUGAAAUGAGAGAUGCAUCUGAACAUCAGAAACUUCCAGGAACUUCAUCAGACUUCACCAGAAAAAUACUGAUGGGGACAGACUGGAAAAACACAGGCAGCUUCCAGGUGACCUUCCAAUGUGAAUACAUACUGGAUAUCCAUGUUGUAAAACACAGAAUCUUCAUUUUGGAUGUGGUUUGAGAAUUCAUGAACAUAUUUGUAUUUGAGAAUGGAGGAUACACCUUCCAUUGCGUUGAAAGAUUUGAAGAACCAAUAUACUUUGAGGCAUUGCUGGAGGUUACAAAGUCAAUUGUAACUUAUUCUGGUGGGCAGAGUGCUGUGGGUAGAUCUACUCAGGAAGAGAGUUUUGAAGCUGUGCUUUCUUUUCUCUGUUACGUUCCUCUGAGAUGAUUAUUGUAUCAGAGUGAGCAGGAUGUCAUUAAGAGUGUGGGCACAUGUAGGAUGCAGUGAAGAACAGAUAGCAGCGGGUUCCUCCCUACAGAAUUAAGAACCAAGAGAGAGAGAAAAGCUAAUGGAACAGGUGAAGACAAUUUUCCUGAGAACCAGAAUUUUCUGAAGAGGAAAUUCCUGAUCUGCGUGUCCAAGCUCCAACGUAGCAAUUCAGCCUCUACCAUGAAGGAUGCAUCUCUACAUUUUAAACCUACUACAGGCACUAAGGAAGGUUUUGACUUUGUUCCUUUCACCUUUUAUAGUCUACAAGCCAAGUACAUGGCAAUGCUAGGAAAAAGUACAUUUAAAAUGUAAAAUAAUAAAUAUUUAAGCAUUCAACUCCAACAAAGAGACAUCAUAAUGAAAAAUCCAUAUUACAAAAACCAGAUAUGAUGCAACAAAGAAAUUGAGAAUACUUCAAAGAGAUGAUACAUCGCAGUAACAUCAUGAAGACAAAGAACUAGUUUUAAAGAAG